rnacentral:rRNA from 1 species
UACAGAGGGUGCAAGCGUUAAUCGGAAUUACUGGGCGUAAAGCGUGCGUAGACGGUUACAUAAGUCGGGUGUGAAAGCCCCGGGCUCAACCUGGGAAUUGCAUUCGAGACUGCGUAGCUAGGGUGCGGAAGAGGGAAGCGGAAUUUCCGGUGUAGCGGUGAAAUGCGCAGAUAUCAGGAGGAACACCAAUGGCGAAGGCAGCUCGCUGGGACGGUACUGACGCUGAGACGCGAAAGCGUGGGGAGCAAACAGG